AACCAUAGAAACCUGCGGAGUACCUGCGGAGGGAUCAUUACAGAGUUGCAAAACUCCCACAAACCAUCGCGAAUCUUACCCGUACGGUUGCCUCGGCGCUGGCGGUCCGGAAGGCCCUCGGGCCCCCGGACCCUCGGGUCCCCCGCUCGCGGGGGGCUGCCCGCCGGAGUGCCGAAACCAAACUCUUGAUAUUUUAUGUCUCUCUGAGUAAACUUUUAAAUAAGUCAAAACUUUCAGCCA
rnacentral:misc_RNA from 1 species